rnacentral:rRNA from 1 species
AGAGUUUGAUCCUGGCUCAGGACGAACGCUGGCGGCGUGCCUAAUACAUGCAAGUAGAACGCUGAAGAGAGGAGCUUGCUCUUCUUGGAUGAGUUGCGAACGGGUGAGUAACGCGUAGGUAACCUGCCUUGUAGCGGGGGAUAACUAUUGGAAACGAUAGCUAAUACCGCAUAACAAUGGAUGACCCAUGUCAUUUAUUUGAAAGGGGCAAAUGCUCCACUACAAGAUGGACCUGCGUUGUAUUAGCUAGUAGGUGAGGUAACGGCUCACCUAGGCGACGAUACAUAGCCGACCUGAGAGGGUGAUCGGCCACACUGGGACUGAGACACGGCCCAGACUCCUACGGGAGGCAGCAGUAGGGAAUCUUCGGCAAUGGGGGCAACCCUGACCGAGCAACGCCGCGUGAGUGAAGAAGGUUUUCGGAUCGUAAAGCUCUGUUGUAAGUCAAGAACGAGUGUGAGAGUGGAAAGUUCACACUGUGACGGUAGCUUACCAGAAAGGGACGGCUAACUACGUGCCAGCAGCCGCGGUAAUACGUAGGUCCCGAGCGUUGUCCGGAUUUAUUGGGCGUAAAGCGAGCGCAGGCGGUUUGAUAAGUCUGAAGUUAAAGGCUGUGGCUCAACCAUAGUUCGCUUUGGAAACUGUCAAACUUGAGUGCAGAAGGGUAGAGUGGAAUUCCAUGUGUAGCGGUGAAAUGCGUAGAUAUAUGGAGGAACACCGGUGGCGAAAGCGGCUCUCUGGUCUGUAACUGACGCUGAGGCUCGAAAGCGUGGGGAGCGAACAGGAUUAGAUACCCUGGUAGUCCACGCCGUAAACGAUGAGUGCUAGGUGUUGGAUCCUUUCCGGGAUUCAGUGCCGCAGCUAACGCAUUAAGCACUCCGCCUGGGGAGUACGACCGCAAGGUUGAAACUCAAAGGAAUUGACGGGGGCCCGCACAAGCGGUGGAGCAUGUGGUUUAAUUCGAAGCAACGCGAAGAACCUUACCAGGUCUUGACAUCCCGAUGCUAUUUCUAGAGAUAGAAAGAUACUUCGGUACAUCGGUGACAGGUGGUGCAUGGUUGUCGUUAGCUCGUGUCGUGAGAUGUUGGGUUAAGUCCCGCAACGAGCGCAACCCCUAUUGUUAGUUGCCAUCAUUCAGUUGGGCACUCUAGCGAGACUGCCGGUAAUAAACCGGAGGAAGGUGGGGAUGACGUCAAAUCAUCAUGCCCCUUAUGACCUGGGCUACACACGUGCUACAAUGGUUGGUACAACGAGUUGCGAGUCGGUGACGGCAAGCUAAUCUCUUAAAGCCAAUCUCAGUUCGGAUUGUAGGCUGCAACUCGCCUACAUGAAGUCGGAAUCGCUAGUAAUCGCGGAUCAGCACGCCGCGGUGAAUACGUUCCCGGGCCUUGUACACACCGCCCGUCACACCACGAGAGUUUGUAACACCCGAAGUCGGUGAGGUAACCUUUUGGAGCCAGCCGCCUAAGGUGGGAUAGAUGAUUGGGGUGAAGUCGUAACAAGGUA